rnacentral:rRNA from 1 species
AACGUAGGAGACAAACGUUAUCCGGAGUUACUGGGCGUAAAGGGCGUGUAGGUGGUAGAGUAAGUCUGGCGUGAAAUUUUUCGGCUUAACCGGGAAAGGUCGUCGGAUACUGCUUAACUAGAGGACGGUAGAGGCGUGUGGAAUUCCGGGUGUAGUGGUGAAAUGCGUAGAGAUCCGGAGGAACACCAGUGGCGAAGGCGACACGCUGGGCCGUACCUGACACUGAUGCGCGACAGCAGUGGGGAGCAAACAG